GCCAAACACACAAACUGAAUUACAAUAUUUGCCAUUUCUAGAAUAUGAAUUAGUCUGAACAAAAGAUCACACAAAAUGUAUCGCACUGAGUUUUUGCUCUAGUAUAUAAUACUCCUUGAAAGUUCUCCGGUGAAGUAUGAUUAUCUUACUAUAUUCAGAAACAUUUUUCACUCAUUGUUAAUUAAGAGAUGAUAUAAAAUCAACUUCAUUCAGUACCACAAGAUGUAUGAUCUUAAAUAAUUUGAUUAGAAUUAAAAGUAAUGAAAUUUCACAUUACAGGUACCAUAAUUUUCACUUUAAUAUUCGUGUCAAGGGGAAUAACUUUAGUUUACAGAUGGAUCUAGAUUUUCUUAUUUCUCCUGCAAUGGAUGCAUGGAAAUUUGAUAUGCACACAGCUGAAUAGUUACCCAUUUUACAUCUGAAAACACUACAUUGUGUGUUUUUCAAUUUAACGUAUUUAUUCAUACCAUUAGACCUACCUUUUUAUGUGAACUCAAAAGUGUAGUUUUUGUUUGAUUCUUUGACAAUUUUAAAAUUCAUGUUAAACGAAAUCAAAAGUAUCGUAUGCAUAUAUAUAUAUAUUAAGCGUGAGAAAAUUAUUUGGAGAUGAUGGAGAGCUCAUGAGUUUAAUUCUCCCUGGAAUUAUCAAUCGCAGUAGGUCUGUGUGCCAUUUGCAUCCGAUUCAAGGGCUUGUUGUAAUCUAUAUGCCUUCUUACUUUUUUACCACCAUGGUAUUUCUAAAUGUAAAAAGGGCAUAGAGAUUUUUACAAACUCUUUUGGUUGAAAGUAAAAAUUUCACUGUUAGGAUUUCAAGGAAGAAAGUUUUGAAAUUUUUUAAUAUCUGUUUGAAAAAUGUGCUGGAUGGUAGAUGUUUUUCUUAUCCCAUCAACUUGACUUCAGUGAGUAACGUGUACUUCAGAGAGAGAGAGAGAGAGAGAGUGAGGCGAGAGAUGCAUUUGUACUUGUAUGAUAAACUACCUCAUCAGGGAAAAAUAAACAUUGCUUGUG
rnacentral:sRNA from 1 species